GAUGAACGCUGGCGGCGUGCCUAACACAUGCAAGUCGAACGAAAAGACGCUGAGCUUGUGCCUUUGACGUUAGCGGCGGGCGGGUGAGUAACGCGUGGAUCCUCUACUUAUCUUUCGGGGAUAAUUACGGAAAUCCGGAUCUAAUACCAGAGAACAUGUUGAACCGCGGUGUUCAACGGUGAAUGACGGCCUUGGUGUCACUAAUAGCUGCUUCCGCGCCGGAUUGGCUAGUUGGUAAGGUACCGGCGUACCAAGGCAACGAUGCGUAGCCGAGCUGAGGGGGUGAUCAGCCACACUGGAACUGAGACACGGUACAGACGCCUACGGGAGGCAGCAGUAGGGAAUCUUACGCAAUGGGCGGAAUCCUGAGCGAGCAACGCCGCGUGAGUGAAGAAGGUCUUCGGAUCGUAAAUCUCUGUUAUUGGGUAAGAAAAAAUGUGUAAGUAUCUCGGCACGUCUUGACGGUACCUAAUCAGAAAGCCACGGCUAACUACGUG
rnacentral:rRNA from 1 species